rnacentral:rRNA from 1 species
GACGAACGCUGGCGGCGUGCUUAACACAUGCAAGUCGAACGGAAAGGCCCUGCUUUUGUGGGGUGCUCGAGUGGCGAACGGGUGAGUAACACGUGAGUAACCUGCCCUUGACUUUGGGAUAACUUCAGGAAACUGGGGCUAAUACCGGAUAGGAGCUCCUGCUGCAUGGUGGGGGUUGGAAAGUUUCGGCGGUUGGGGAUGGACUCGCGGCUUAUCAGCUUGUUGGUGGGGUAGUGGCUUACCAAGGCUUUGACGGGUAGCCGGCCUGAGAGGGGGACCGGCCACAUUGGGACUGAGGUACGGCCCAGACUCCUACGGGAGGCAGCAGUGGGGAAUAUUGCACAAUGGGCGGAAGCCUGAUGCAGCAACGCCGCGUGCGGGAUGACGGCCUUCGGGUUGUAAACCGCUUUCGCCGGUAACGAAGCGUGAGUGACGGUAAUGGGUAAAGAAGCACCGGCUAACUACGUG